GACAGAGGGGGCAAGCGUUGUCCGGAGUUACUGGGGGUAAAGGGCGCGGAGGCGGUUUGCGGCGUCGGCGCUGAAAGCGCCCCGCUUAACGGGGCGAGGCGUGCCGAUACGCGCAGACUUGAGGCGAGCAGAGGGUGGUGGAAUUCCGGGUGGAGCGGUGAAAUGCGUAGAGAUCCGGAGGAACGCCAGUGGGGAAGCCGGCCACUGGGCUCGGCCUGACGCUGCGGCGCGACCGCGUGGGGAGCAAACCGG
rnacentral:rRNA from 1 species